rnacentral:rRNA from 1 species
UACGUAGGGGGCAAGCGUUGUCCGGAAUCAUUGGGCGUAAAGAGCGCGUAGGCGGUCCGAUAAGUCGGUUGUGAAAACUGGGGGCUCAACCCUCAGAGGCCGACCGAUACUGUCGGGCUAGAGUCCGGAAGAGGCGAGUGGAAUUCCUGGUGUAGCGGUGAAAUGCGCAGAUAUCAGGAAGAACACCCGUGGCGAAAGCGGCUCUCUGGAACGGUACUGACGCUGAGACGCGAAAGCGUGGGGAGCGAACAGA